UGGUGAAAGGAAAGGGCAACAUCCUGCCCAGCCUCCACAUCACAGAAGCUGUCGUCCCUUAAAGUUGACACGCAGAUGCCAUUGGCUCAGGAGGACAGCAUCGACUUCGUUAUUGGUCAUCAAAGGACGAUGGAAAGGCCUCUUCGGAGUCUACAUGGGGUCUGCAGUGAGCGAGGACGAGGGAAGAAAAGGAUGAAGGAUGUGCGGCGGCACCUCUCCCAGAAACUGGCGGAUUGCCAGAGAAAGUAGAACAAUGCUCAGUUCGAACUAUAAAAAAUUUGAAUGACAUCCCCUAGGCAUUUGUUGACUUCAUUACCUGGCGGCUUUGUAUGUUUGUCUAACAAACGAGCCCUUAAUUAACUCCUCUUUUGUUCAUAGUAGAACAUGUAGUUUUACAGAUUUUUCUAUGGACAGAAUCAAGUAAA